GGGCGCGUGGUCCAGCAGCGAAGACAUCAGUCCUACAAACUGAAAACCUCGGUGCAAGUCCGAGCGUGCCCA
rnacentral:tRNA from 1 species